AGCAGCCGCGGUAAUUCCAGCUCCAAUAGCGUAUAUUAAAGUUGUUGCAGUUAAAAAGCUCGUAGUUGAAUUUCGGGGUUAGCAGGUCGGUCGUGCCAUCGGUAUGAACUGGUCUCGCUGAUCCCUCCCUCUUGACGAACUGUGAUGCCAUUAAUUUGGUGUCGCAGGGAAUCAGGACUGUUACUUUGAAAAAUUGAGUGUUUAAAGCAGGCUCACGCUUGAAUACAUUAGCAUGGAAUAAUGAAAUAGGACGUUUGAUCCUAUUUUGUUGGUUUCUAGGAUUGACGUAAUGAUUAAUAGGGAUAGUUGGGGGCAUUAGUAUUCAAUUGUCAGAGGUGAAAUUCUUGGAUUUAUUGAAGACUAACUACUGCGAAAGCAUUUGCCAAGGAUGUUUUCAUUAAUCAAGAACGAAAGUUAGGGGAUCGAAGACGAUCAGAUACCGUCGUAGUCUUAACCAUAAACUAUGCCGACUAGGGAUCGGAUGAUGUUAAUUUUAAUGACUCAUUC
rnacentral:misc_RNA from 1 species